rnacentral:rRNA from 1 species
UACAUGUGGGGCAAGCGUUGUUCGGAAUUACUGGGCAUAAAGGGUGCGUAGGUGGUUUGCUAAGUCAGGGGUGAAAUCCCGCGGCCCAACCGUGGAACUGCCUUUGAUACUGGCGAACUUGAGUGCGUGAGGGGUAACCGGAACGAGCAGUGUAGCGGUGAAAUGCGCAGAUAUCAGGAGGAACACCCGUAGCGAAGGCGGCACUCUGGGCCGGAACUGACGCUGAGGAGCGAAAGCGUGGGGAGCAAACAGG